rnacentral:rRNA from 1 species
AUGGCAAAAGCCAUAGAAGCCACCGCAAGGUCUUCACCACUCCACGUCGUGGUGUUCCCAUGGCUCGCGUUCGGCCAUAUGAUCCCCUACCUCGAGCUCUCGGAGCAGCUGGCGAGGCGCGGGCACGCCGUCACCUUCGUGUCCGCGCCGAGGAACCUCGCCAGGCUGCGGCCCGUCCCGGAGGACCUCUGGCCCCGCGUCCGCCUCCUCCCCCUGCCGCUGCCCAGCGUCAACGGCCUUCCCUACGGCGCCGAGUCGACGGCCGACGUCCCGCCGGAGAAGGUCGACCUCCUCAAGGUGGCUUUCGACGGCCUCGCCUCCCCUUUCGCCGGCUUUCUUGCCGGAGCCUGCGCCGGCGGGGAGGGUGCGACGGGAUUCGGCAAGAAGCCCGACUGGAUCUUCGUUGACUUCACACACCACUGGCUCCCGCCCAUAGCUGAGCAGCACAAGGUACCGUGCGCCUUGUUCUCCAUCUUCCCGGCGGCGUUCAUCGCCUUCCUCGGCCCCAAGACGGCGAACGACGAGCACCCGCGGACGACGGCGGAGGACUUCAUGGGCCAGCCGCCGUGGAUCCCGUUCCCGACCCACAUCGUCCACCGUCUCCACGAGGCCGAGCAGUUCGUCCAGCUGCAUUUACGCCCCAACGCCGCCGGCCCAUCCGACUGCUGCCGCUUCUGGGAGACGGAGCAGCACUGCCCACUCGUCAUCGUGCGCAGCUGCCGCGAGGUCGACGGCCCGCUCUGCCCCCUCCUCACUGACCUCUUCGGCAAGCCUGUGGCCCCGUCCGGCCUCCUCGCUCCAUACGACGCCGCCCAAGAAGCUGUUGCCGACCGUACCGGCGGCGGCGAGGAUGAGGACAAGGCGAGCGCGCGUCUCAUGCGCUGGCUGGACGAGCAGCCGGCGAGGUCAGUGAUCUACGUCGCGUUCGGGAGCGAGGCGCCGCUGACCCCCGAGCAGGUCCGCCAGCUCGCAGUCGGGCUGGAGCUGUCGGGCGCUCGGUUUCUCUGGGCGCUGCGGGAACCGAGCGGCCUCCUGAUCCCCGACGGGUUCGAGGAGCGCGUGUCCGGGCGCGGCCUGGUGCGCGUGGGGUGGGUGCCGCAGGUGCGCGUCCUCGCGCACAGCGCCGUGGGUGCGUUCCUGACGCACACUGGGUGGAGCUCGCUCAUGGAGAGCUUCCUGUUCGGCCACCCGCUCGUCAUGCUACCUCUGUUCGCCGACCAAUGCGUCACGGCGCGAGCCAUGGCGGCGAGGGCGGUCGGCCUGGAGGUGCCCAGGGACGAGCGCGACGGGUCGUUCGCCGGGGUCGACGUUGCCGGGACGGUGCGGCGGGUGAUGGCGGAGGGCGAGGAAGGGAAGACCCUCGCCCGCAAUGCCAGGGCGUUCCAGGAGAUUCUCUGCAACAGGGCGAAGCAGGACGAGUACGUCGACGAGCUGGUUGAGCACUUGCUGCGACUGCAAUAG